AAGACAUUUUUUGGCUCGUUUAGGAUGAGUUGUUCAUUGAUGAAACUCAUGUGGAUAAAUGAGAACAGCUUCCCAUCAUUAUAGUAGACUCAAUAUAUGUCAUAUAUCUUUUAAUGUUAAAGUACAAGCUAAUUUAGUAUGUACACGAAUUGAAUCGAUACUCACUAUAUUUACAUGUUGGGUACUACUAAUCUUCAGUCUAUCAAUUUUUCCUAGGUUAUACU
rnacentral:lncRNA from 1 species